rnacentral:tRNA from 1 species
GGCGGAGUAGCCAACCGGUAAGGCAGUGGUUUGCAAAACCACCAUUAGUGGGUUCGAUUCCCGCCUCCGCCUCCA